GAUGAAGAACGUAGCGAAAUGCGAUAAGUAAUGUGAAUUGCAGAAUUCAGUGAAUCAUCGAAUCUUUGAACGCACAUUGCGCCCGUUAGCAUUCUAGCGGGCAUGCCUGUCCGAGCGUCAUUUCAACCCUCAGGGUCCCCGUUCCGGCGGGGAACCUGGUGUUGGGGAUCGGCCCGCCCCGCGCGGCGCCGUCCCCCAAAUUCAGUGGCGGUCUCGCUGCAGCCUCCCCUGCGUAGUAGUUACAACCUCGCAUCGGAGCUCAGCGCGGCCACGCCGUAAAACCCCCGACUUUCUGAACGUUGACCUCGGAUCAGGUAGGAAUACCCGCUGAACUUAAGCAUAUCAAUAAGCGGAGGA
rnacentral:misc_RNA from 1 species